UACAACAAUAAAUGGUUGUUUCCAUAUGCAUGUAUUUCCAGAGUUUUGAAUGAAGUAAUUAACUUUUCUUGAACUAUCCUAAUAAAUCAAAACUGCAGCUAAAAUGCUAAAUUAUCAAUCGUUUCACGGUAGCUGCUGUGCUGCGUUAUUGUACAUGUACAUAUGGCAUAUUAAUAUUUUAAUUUUUAGUUCCCAGAUAAUUAGUUGAUGUAAAUGAUACAAUUGCUGUUACGUCAUAUUUUACCAAACUUUGUCAGCUUUACCUGCAAAAGAAUUUACUCUACCACAGUUUAAUAGAGGGGUUUAUUAAAUUUCUUAAAUAUUAUCAUAUUAAAUAUUAUUAAUAAAGUGUUUUCUUGCCAUUUCUAUGCAAGACAUUUCCAUAUGAAAUAUGCCGAAGUUCAUAUUAAAUCAUGUUUUUUUUCCGAUUUCCGAGGAUUAUUUUAGAUUAUGUAUGUUGUAUACCGUGUAUGUUUUUGUUUUUAUUUUUUUUUAUUUUCCGAAAUCUUUUAACUUAUCUGUUGUAUAGAUGCAUCGAUGACCACAAUAAAACACACACACAU
rnacentral:misc_RNA from 1 species